rnacentral:rRNA from 1 species
CCUACGGGAGGCUGCAGUGAGGAAUAUUGGUCAAUGGCCGAGAGGCUGAACCAGCCAAGUCGCGUGAGGGAAGAAUGUCCUAUGGAUUGUAAACCUCUUUUAUCAGGGAGCAAAGUCACCCACGUGUGGGUGUUGGCGAGUACCUUAAGAAAAAGCAUCGGCUAACUCCGUGCCAGCAGCCGCGGUAAUACGGAGGAUGCGAGCGUUAUCCGGAUUUAUUGGGUUUAAAGGGUGCGUAGGCGGGUUAUCAAGUCAGCGGUAAAAUCGUGCAGCUCAACUCCAGCCAGCCGUUGAAACUGAUGAUCUUGAGUGGGCGAGAAGUAUGCGGAAUGCGUGGUGUAGCGGUGAAAUGAAUAGAUAUCACGCAGAACUCCGAUUGCGAAGGCAGCAUACUGGCGCCCGACUGACGCUGAAGCACGAAAGCGUGGGUAUCGAACAGGAUUAGAUACCCCUGUAGUC